AUGUGGAAGACUUGCAAGAAAUCUUGGGUUGAAAUCGGUUGUCAUGAGAGUAAAUGGGUUCACUCACUUCAAAAAGAAGAAACAGGCAAUCCUUGGCUGGAGAAAGGCUACACCUUUGGUAAAGGAGAUCACACUCCGAUUACAUUUAUUGAAGAUACCACUCGGCUUGCACAUAAUGGAUGCCGACUUCCAAAGAAGCGCCGUGUCUGAGUAGUUAUGGGGCAGGAUCUCUUAUGGAUAAGUUGGGUAUCCGUCUUAAUAUUUUGUGAAAGUUUUAUGCUCAAUCUUUAGUAUCUAUCUGUUUUGCUAGAUUCAUAUGUUCAAGGAACCUUUGAGUUAUGUAGUCAAAACUUGUGACAUUAGCAUUGUUUCUUAUUUAUUUUUGUGGGUUAUAAAUGAUCUACACGUCUGCUUAUUACCAAUACAGUUCAAAAAGAAUGGCAAGGAGUACUUUGACUGUGUCUGUGACACUACAGCAUAAGACUCAAACCGUCCUAUACUGAUUUUCAUUUCUAUUUUGGUAAAGCGUUUGUUACAGCUAGAGAGCAUCAGGUAGCAGCUACAGCAAGCAGGUACGAAGAAUGCAGAAUAACCCAGUUGGAAGAACAUUGGAUGCUGACCAAGACCAAGUCAAAUGAAGACGUUGCGCCAAAGAAAUAAGAAGAAGUGGUUAACAAGCAGAAGAGAAGAUCUCCCUUGAUUCUAGGAGUUGUGGCAACUUCUUAGGAAGUUUGUUAGGCAACGUUCAAAUGUAGAGAAUAACGUUAUAAAAAUGUAUUAGUAUAAAUAGAAGGGAAAACAAUCCGGGUAGCAUAAGUCUUUACAUCACUUUUACUUUUCA